rnacentral:rRNA from 1 species
CAGCCGCCGCGGGAAUACGAAGGGUGCAAGCGUUAAUCGGAAUUACUGGGCGUAAGGCGCGCGUAGGUGGUUCAUUAAGUUGAAUGUGAAAGCCCUGGGCUCAACCUGGGAACUGCAUCCAAAACUGGUGAGCUAGAGUACGGUAGAGGGUAGUGGAAUUUCCUGUGUAGCGGUGAAAUGCGUAGAUAUAGGAAGGAACACCAGUGGCGAAGGCGACUACCUGGACUGAUACUGACACUGAGGUGCGAAAGCGUGGGGAGCAAACAGGAUUAGAUACCCCUGUAGUCCCUGUCUCUUAUAC